rnacentral:rRNA from 1 species
AGAUACCCUGUUAUACCGAGCAAAAACAAGUAAAUCUGGAGUAAUAAAAAUAAAUCAAUUUUAAAUUCAAAGAAUUUGGCGGUGUCUUAGUCUUGUUAGAGGAACCUGUUUUAUAAACGAUAAACCACGUAGUAUCUUUCUUGUUUUUGUUAUAGCUAGUAUACCAUCAUUAUUAGACAAUUUUACUUAAAUAAAAAUUAUUAAAAUUAAUAUUAUUAAAUAUAUUAGAUCACGGUGCUGCUAAUAAACAAGUUUUAAUGGGUUACAAUAAAUUUAAUUUAUUUACGAAUUUAUCAAUGAAUGUUGAUAAUAAAGGUGGAUUUAAUAGUAAUAUAGAUUUAAUAUGUCUAUCUGAGAUUAGCUCUAUGAUGUGUACAUA